UGUCAAGGUCCGGAGUCUAUGGGUUACCUCUGAAUCUCUCCCAUAGACAUCAACUUGACCUGAC
rfam:Pristionchus pacificus strain PS312 contig10216, whole genome shotgun sequence.